AAAGAGCGGUAAGUUGGGGACCUUUUAAGAGAAGAGACCUACGAACCGGGUCAGGACUGGAAGGUAGCAGCCCUAAGAAGAGCUUUCUUUUGCUAGAAGUGUUUCUCCAACUUACUCUUU
rnacentral:SRP_RNA from 1 species